CUAUAUAUGGGUUUUAUGCUCUCUGGGGCACAAACAGCAGCUCAGCCCUAAAAGCUCCUCCGUUGCACUUUCCAAGCUGACUGGGCAUUCUAUGGCGCGUUCAUAUCGUAUCAUGUAAGAUACUAUACGCAAUCACAACACACACUAUCAUAGUAAUGAAAAAUCUAGAAGCAACGUUUAUUUAUUUAUUUAUUUAUAAAUGCGGCAGUAAUCAUUUUCCUUGCAUCCCAUACUUAAAAAAUAUAUAUACAUUGAAAACGUCAUGAAGAAUAAGCUGCUGGCGAAGAUACAGACACACACACACACACAGAGAAACAGUAUAAAUAUAGAAAAUAUAUAAAUAGAUAAAUAGAUAGAAAAAGUAUUUAUACUGAAUCAUGAAGAAAUUGGAUAUAUUCUCAAAUUUCAAAGUGUGGAAUAUGUUUUUUCAUGCAACAGAUUGCAUGUUGAAUUCACCAAACAGAUAUCCAAAAAUGAUCAUCGGGAUACACAUUCAAGCUGUGUCGCUGUAACACACACAGGCAGAUAUGCGAAUGGAUGAAUGGUGGAUGAGAGAUAGAUUAGUGGAUGAAUACUUAGGGGAGGAGGAGCGAUUGAUGGGGCUAUGGCGGGAGCGGCACCACGAAGCGCGUAAUGUGACAUCGUGACGGAGACGCCGUCAAAGACCAGGUCCAACUGCGGGGCUGGGGCCAAGUCGUCGCCGUCGCCGUCGCAGUUGAAGACAACCACCACCACAUGGCUCUGGCAAGGCCGUCGUCACGAGGUCCAUGUGAGGAGGAGGAUCAUGCGUCUAUGCGUGGUGAGAGAGGGGGAGAUUGUGUUAGCCCAAGGGCGGGUGGGGGAAGAGAUUCACACGAUCGAAUUUCUGAACAUGGAACCACUAUCGUUUCAGACCACGGUGCUGCCGAAUCCCCUUCAAAUGGGCGGGAAUGGGAGAAGGGCUACUCCCAAUCCCUGCCCCAAUUCCGUCCUCCCCCUCAUCCCAACCCAGUUAGUUUCGUGACGCGAUUCCUGACAGCAAGUUGUUGGUAACACUGUCGAAUGGCGAUGAAGCACACCACGCUUGGCGAUGGGAGAAGGAAGCUUAAGCACUUUUGACUGUGACGUGCUGGUGAUACUCAUCCAGCAGGGAGCCGAUGCAGGUCAGCCAGCAUGUGGGGCGCGUCGGCACCAAUAGCGGAGGCGACGCACUGAUCGUGGUCUAGACGGAAAGGGGAGGCACUGAUCAUCGGGUCUUCGGUUACCCCCCCCCCAAUUCUCUCCUAAUCCCGGUGAGCUUCCACAUCUCUGAGUCGAGAAUGACUCCAUCCUAUAUGAACAGGGGUUACGCUUCCCAUCGUUUUGUGGAUUCGCUUCACUGAUCGGAAUGUUUGUUCCAGUCGCAUACGAGAAACUCCCACACAUUUGGGUGAAAUUCCUGCUGCUUGUUACAAUGCUUGCUCACUGGGGAGCGACAACCCUAAAUUGGUAAAACAAAUAUGCUGAUUCGGAAAAAGAAAAAAGCUGGCAUGGGACUCUCAAGCGAUGCUGCGCAGAUUUUGCUUGCCAGCACCAAAUCUGAACUGAUCGAGCCUACGCCAUGAAUCUAUUAUUGAGUCGACUCAGGAUUAGGGUUUGCGCCAGCAAGACUGAUUCCGAUGACGACGGUGCACCGUUGGUGAGAGCAUUCAUGAAAACUCACUGACUUUGAUUAACCCCAGAAAUUGACAUGAUUAAGAAUGGCUUCAAUCUUAUCCUUUCAUAUACUAAUUAAUAUAAGAGGUAUAUAAAGACCUUCUAAAGGGAUGAGUCUGAUGUUUCCGUGCUGUGUAAUUUUAAUUAUAUGUUUAAAUAAUUAUUGAAUAUCAUAAUUUAAUUCACUAAUUAAUUUAAUUAUAUUUUGUAUAAUUAAAUAAUAUAAAAUCAUUACUAACAGCAAGAAUUUGAGUAAAAUAAGACACCUUUUGCAUUGUCUUUGAAGUUGUAAUAAUAUUUCAUACAAAACUUUCAUUUAUUUAUUUUUAUUAAAUUAGUUGUGUACUUCAAAAUGAAAAAUAGCGAAACACAACUUUUACUAUAAUUUCUUUUUAUAUUCAAUGAAUAUAUGAUAUAAAAUAUGAUUGUUUUUGAACAAUUACUAUAAUCAUUAAUGAAAUAUUGAUAGAUUUAUAAACGAAAUUUGGUUUGUGGUCCAUGUAGUUUGACCUUGGCAAUUGUAUAUGUAUGCAAAAUAAGAAGAAUAAUAAUAAUUAUUAUUACUAAUGUGCAUUUCGAAUUUAUUUAUUUAUGCCAAUAAAAACCACGUUUCAAUUUCAACACUGUCCAGAAUGCAUUUGUACAUUAACUUUGAAGUACUUAUUCUGCUCUACACGUUCUUUUAUUACAUCAUGUAGAAAGCAUAGUGUGUUCACAAAAAACAAUAUAGUCCUUUCCAAGUUGCUCUUCUACACCCACAUCCAUUUAUUUAAACAUUGUUUUUUGUUUUGUUUUUUCGGUCUAGUAGCCUAACCUCAACAACGGAAUUUCACUAUGUCAAUGUAAGCGAAUGAUUUCGAAAGCCAAGUCUGAAUGUUGACCUUUAAUUGUUUCUAAUUUGUACCCAUAUACUCCACAAUCCAUGGAAUUGUGGGAACCAAGUAAAAAGUGUGUUACCAAAAAUGGGGUGGGAAGAAGAACUAGGUGAACAACACUUGGCAGUCAAAACUGGGUGAACCACACUUGGAUGUUACCUGGCCUCCAGUUUUGAGCGCCAGGUGUACCUCGGCGUUUCUUUGUGCCAUCGGCACAGCGUGAUGGUGUUUGAUGUGGGCUCCCUCAGAUCGAAUUGUGUCGCCUAUUCAGGAGUGGUCGAUUGGAGUCGUGCACGUUUUAAUUGCAUUUUGGGCUAAUUGGGUCGAUUCAUGUUGUCGAUUUCAACGUGUAGUCCAGGUCUAGGGCGAAUUGGAAGAAACGUUAGAGGGGUUGAGCGAGAAGUUGAGGAGAGUUUAGGGUUAUCUGGGUAGGAAGGAAUGGAGGGCACAGGUGAUAACGAUCACAAUUCGAAGGUGCCAGAGAAGGCGGUGAGCCCUACUUCGGAGGCUCGAAAGGUGAUAGACCAUGCUGCUUAUAAUGCUCGAGCGGUAGGGAAAGUCCUGCUUCACCCUCUCAGCAAGGAGGCGCAGACGGAGGCUAUCGCCAAAGCCCGCGAAGACAAGGCUGUCUCUGAUCAGCGAACGGCCCCUGUCAGCGAUACUGUAGCGCAGCAGGCCGAUCCCCUCUGAAUGUCCAUAAGUAAAAAGCACACCAGGCCUCAUGCUGGAGUGAUGUUGACGCAAAACUGCCACUGGAGCAACACCCACACUGGAUCCACGGGGAAUUAGACUCAGUGUAGGAGGAUUUCUUGGAUUUUCAUCUCAGAUUUGUACUCAUUUUCGCGUGUAAAUGAACCGAAGUUUGGCUACAAUUUCAGCUCAAGUUCUUGUUUUCAGGCUCCUGCUUCUGUUCU
rnacentral:lncRNA from 1 species